rnacentral:lncRNA from 1 species
UAAUAAAAAAGUAGAAUAAAGUAGAGAGAAUUCGAAAAUUUUAAACACGCUAAGCUCUUCAAUCUGAACAAGUAAAUGUUCUGGGGGUUCGUUUUACCGCGACACAUUACCCCAAAAUCUAGGGUUUGUCAAUGCCAAGUCAAUUUUACACCGUAAUCUGAAAUCCACAGCCGAUUUCUUCAAUAUUACCUGAACAAUGCGGUUGGAUUCUUGAUAUCCUUCUUCAAGAUUCACCGUAUUAAACGAUCUAUAAAUAUAUUUCUCCAAGUAUUGUUAUCAAUCACUUUUUCUGCUUAAAAAUUCAGUCUUUCGACUAUACUCGACAAAGAAAGAAGAAAAGACUCUCCGAUUAUCCAUGGCGAAGACUAGACCCGGCAAAAGAGACUUGGAUUCUUACACCAUUAGAGGCACAAACAAAGUCGUCAGAGGUAUGUGCGUGUUUGCUACUUACCCACGCCGACAUAUACAUAUAUACACAUAAAUAUACACUGGUGAAGUUGUGGAACAAAUAUUGAUUCUUUUUUAAUAAUAAGGAGCUUACAAGACAAUUUUGGGUACUGCAUG